rnacentral:misc_RNA from 1 species
GAUGAAGAACGUAGCGAAAUGCGAUAAGUAAUGUGAAUUGCAGAAUUCAGUGAAUCAUAGAAUCUUUGAACGCACAUUGCGCCCGCUAGUAUUCUGGCGGGCAUGCCUGUCCGAGCGUCAUUUCAACCCUCAAGCCCCCGGGCUUGGUGUUGGGGAUCGGCGAGCCUCCGCGCCCGCCGUCCCCUAAAUCUAGUGGCGGUCUCGCUGUAGCUUCCUCUGCGUAGUAGCACACCUCGCACUGGGAAACAGCGCGGCCACGCCGUUAAACCCCCAACUUCUGAACGUUUGACCUCGGAUCAGGUAGGAAUACCCGCUGAACUUAAGCAUAUCAAUAAGCGGAGGA